rfam:Enterobius vermicularis genome assembly, scaffold: EVEC_scaffold0000110
GGCGAGAUGGCCGAGUGGUCUAAGGCGCUGGUUUAAGGCACAAGUCUCUUCGGAGGCGUAGGAUUCGAACCCACUCUCGUCA